rnacentral:rRNA from 1 species
GACGAACGCUGGCGGCGUGCUUAACACAUGCAAGUCGAACGGAAAGGCCCUGCUUGCAGGGUACUCGAGUGGCGAACGGGUGAGUAACACGUGGGUGAUCUGCCCUGCACUUCGGGAUAAGCCUGGGAAACUGGGUCUAAUACCGGAUAGGAGCCAUUUUUAGUGUGAUGGUUGGAAAGUUUUUUCGGUGUAGGAUUAGCUCGCGGCCUAUCAGCUUGUUGGUUGGGUAAUGGCCUACCAAGGCUGCGACGGGUAGCCGGCCUGGGCGGGGGGACUGCCACACUAGGCCGGGACUGAGGCCCGGACCCCAAUCGUACGGGAGGCAGGGGUAUGUUGUAUUAGGGGAGGAAGGCUGGUGUGAUCCAGCCGCGCGGGGGGAGAGAGGCAGGCGGUUGGAAACUACAUUUCUUUGGGACGAAGCUUUUUGUGACGGUACCUAGAUAAGAAGCACCGGCUAACUACGU